rnacentral:rRNA from 1 species
AUUGAACGCUGGCGGCAGGCUUAACACAUGCAAGUCGAGCGAGCGGCGGACGGGUGAGUAAUGUCUGGGAAACUGCCUGAUGGAGGGGGAUAACUACUGGAAACGGUAGCUAAUACCGCAUACCAUCAGAUGUGCCCAGAUGGGAUUAGCUAGUAGGUGGGGUAAUGGCUCACCUCGGCGACGAUCCCUAGCUGGUCUGAGAGGAGGACCGGCCAAACUGGAACGGAGACCGGGUCCAGAUUCCUACGGGAGGAAGCAGUGGGGAAUAUGGAACAAUGGGCGAAAGCCUGAUGCAGCCAGGCCGGGUGUGUGAAGAAGGCCUUCGGGUUGUAAAGCACUUUCAGCGAGGAGGCGUUACUCGCAGAAGAAGCACCGGCUAACUCCGUGCCAGCGCCGCGGUAAUAC